GUCGUCGUCUGUCUAGACCGUCUAGCUGUUUUCUUGAACUUGAGUUCUUCACUUCUUGUUCUUGUGUGCAUCAUUCAUUUCCCCUAAAGAAAAUCACUUACAAAUGCUUUUUUAAAUCACAGCAUACACAAUAUAUUUGGAGUAGUCUAGCAGCCAAAUCCAGCAGGUAAGGCUUCGGCAUUUCGACUGUACGUCCCACCAAUCAGUCAUAUUUCGAUAAGUCUUCGAGGGAAUUGUGGAAUCGUGAAGUAAAUCACACAACCGACACAUUCCCUCCCUGGUAUCGUCGGGGCCUACACUGGCAUAGUGCUUUUUCCACCAGAAAUAUUCAUUGUAUAGCGUGUCGUUUCCAUCUAGCAAAGUCAGAUAAUCGGCCAACUCCCUGACGGACUGAUAAUCGGCUGCGUUGAUGUGAGAGUGUGGGGGAGCCAUUCGUGCGUGGUGGCCGUGUAGAUCAAAGACGAUCGGAAUUAUGUGGUAGCGCAUCUGAUCGAAAAACUUUUCCGUGACAUAAUCUUCGCACAAAGUGUUUUCCAGUGAAAGGUAGAAUUUGUAAUCACGCUCCAGCAUUUGACGGCACAAUUCGGGAUUUGAACGAGAGCAACUCAUAUUCCCGCACUGCCCAUAGAUGUCGACAUCAAUGAAAGUUUUCAGGCGAUCGACGUAUUCGUUUCGAGCGCUUAAAGAUUUGCAAUUGGAGACGAACCAAGCCAGCUUCUUGGUUUUUCCAGUUGCGUAAUUGACUGCUGAAUCGAGAUGGGUUUCCUGCAAUAGUCGCGGUAAUGUCUGUGGAUCGAACUGUGACGAGUCAAAAAUAACGGCUUGAUUAGCGGACUUGAACCAGCCAUAUGGAUUGACAAUAUCCGAAUCUCUGCGGUACGUCAUUGUGCGAUUGAAAAACUUUGCCAUUGAUUUAGUGUCCACAAAUCUCCAUGCAGAUGACUCCAUACUUAAGAAGAUGUAGUGCUGAUGUGGCCAUCUUUUCAUGGGCACAUCGUUUGGCGUCCAACCGUGUUGAUGAAAGAUGAUAGCAUCGUAAUAUUUUAACGUAUCCCAAUCGACAAUACGCUCACGGUUGAUUAUGUCGCAUUGGUAUGGACAAUGUGAAAGGCGAAGGGCUUGACUGUCCGAUGAAAUACCGGCCGGUCCUUGUCCAACUCCGACUCUGAUGCGAUUUUGUCCUUUGCGCAAUGUGUAGUGUUCAUACCAGAAUAGAAUCUUUUUCACAGGCUCCUGACUAGGUUUGCCAUUAUUGUUGACAGAAAAUAACUUCUCGUUUUCUUCAUUUGUAUAGAAUGCCACUUUGUUGUAAAAUCGUGUCAAAAGAACAAUUAUCAAAAUUCCAACUACGAAGCGACGAUACUGUGACAUUUCGUUAGACCACUAAUAAAAACCAGAAAAUCAUUCCGAUUUCGUUUGCAAGCAAUGGGAAAACGCUAUAUGGUGCCUCUUACAUGUUCCCAGUUCUGCUUCAGACGGCGUGUCGUUUUCAAAUUAUGUUCGAUAGAUGUUGAAACAUAAAUUUACGACAAGAAGAAUAAGAAGGUAUUCAGUGUGCUUUAAAACGUCAAAGUCAACCAGAGGAACAACAUCACAAUAAGAGCCACCUGUCGCUGCUUUAGGAACCCUGAAACAGGUUUUAACCAGGUUUUAACUUUUAACGUAGCGACUGAAUACGGAACAUUUUCAUGUUUUGCCCCCGGCCAGGAAUAAUCCCCAACAGACUGGACGAAUGUGUAAACAUUGAUACACUUUCAGUUUUGUGCAUAGACCUUAUUAGAAUCCAAAGGUAUGAGUCAAACCGACAGUGCCGACACCCGAGCGUCGCGUUGUAGUGUGAAGGGGUGCCGUGAACAGAAGAUUUUUAUUUGGCUCGCCCCACAGUACAAGAAGGUCGGCUUUUCGCUUAAUCGUGCCCGAGGGAAGAAAAGGGAGAAAAGAAAAGUCUGGUCCCCUCUUUUUUUCAUUCUUUCCUUUCCUACUCACACUCACACUACAGUUAAAUGUCCGCAUCUGGCAUCUCUGCAAUUGCAAAGAGCCAAUCAGCCAAGUCAAGGCGAAAGCGGCAGAAGUCGACUGUGAACUUGUGAAUGCAAAAUGUUAAGUCAUUAAAACAACAUUGUGUGCAGAAUCUUGAAUAAAGAAAAAGCGGUACCAGAUCCGAGAUCGACUUGACAAGUCUAUAGAAUGUCUAUGAUUAACAAAUAAACAAAUCACGCCACUUCAGUACAUCUUCUUACCUUUAUUGAUGCUCCGGUUCCAGUAGACUUGUCUUUUUAUUUAGUCUUUUUAAUUUGUGUGCAGAAAAAAGAAUCA